rnacentral:rRNA from 1 species
GAUGAACGCUGGCGGCAGGCUUAACACAUGCAAGUCGAGCGAGCGGCGGACGGGUGAGUAAUGUCUGGGAAACUGCCUGAUGGAGGGGGAUAACUACUGGAAACGGUAGCUAAUACCGCAUACCAUCAGAUGUGCCCAGAGGGGAUUAGCUAGUAGGUGGGGUAAUGGCUCACCUAGGCGACGAGCCCUAGCUGGUCUGAGAGGAUGACCAGACACAGUGGAAAUGAGACACGGGCCAGACGCCGACGGGAGGCAGCAGUGGGGAAGAUUGCACAAUGGGCGCAAGCCUGAUGAAGCCAUGCCGCGUGUGGGAAGAAGGCCUUCGGGUUGUAAAGCACUUUCAUCGAGGAGGCGUUACUCGCAGAAGAAGCACCGGCUAACUCCGUGCCAGCAGCCGCGGUAAUUC